CAGUGAUAUAUAUUUAACGGCCGCGGUAUCAUAACCGUGCAAAGGUAGCGUAAUCACUUGUCUCUUAACUAGGGACUAGUAUGAACGGCUAAAUGAGGGCCCAACUGUCUCCUAUGCCCAAUCAAUGAAACUGAUCUUUCAGUACAAAAGCUGAAAUAUCCACACAAGACGAAAAGACCCUGUGGAACUUUAAACCUACCACUACAUGUACAAUUAAACCCCAACACAGGGUAUAACAUACUUGUCCUAAUAGUUUAAAUUUUAAGUUGGGGCGACUACGGAGAAAACCAAAACCUCCAUGAAAUGGACUAACACUCUGCCUACGGCCUACGAGCCAAAUGCCUUUAAAAUUGAUCCAGUAACACUGAUAAUCGGACCAAGUUACCCCAGGGAUAACAGCGCCAUCCCACUCAAGAGUCCAUAUCGCCAGUGGGGUUUACGACCUCGAUGUUGGAUCAGGACACCCCGGCGGCGUAGCCCCUGCCAAAGGUUCGUUUGUUCAACGAUAAAUGUCCU
rnacentral:rRNA from 1 species